rnacentral:rRNA from 1 species
UCCGUAGGUGAACCUGCGGAGGGAUCAUUACACAAAUAUGAAGGCGGGCUGGAACCUCUCGGGGUUACAGCCUUGCUGAAUUAUUCACCCUUGUCUUUUGCGUACUUCUUGUUUCCUUGGUGGGUUCGCCCACCACUAGGACAAACAUAAACCUUUUGUAAUUGCAAUCAGCGUCAGUAACAAAUUAAUAAUUACAACUUUCAACAACGGAUCUUUUGGUUCUGGCAUCGAUGAAGAACGCAGCGAAAUGCGAUAAGUAGUGUGAAUUGCAGAAUUCAGUGAAUCAUCGAAUCUUUGAACGCACAUUGCGCCCUUUGGUAUUCCAAAGGGCAUGCUUGUUCGAGCGUCAUUUGUACCCUCAAGCUUUGCUUGGUGUUGGGCGUCUUGUCUCUAGCUUUGCUGGAGACUCGCCUUAAAGUAAUUGGCAGCCGGCCUACUGGUUUCGGAGCGCAGCACAAGUCGCACUCUCUAUCAGCAAAGGUCUAGCAUCCAUUAAGCCUUUUUUUCAACUUUUGACCUCGGAUCAGGUAGGGAUACCCGCUGAACUUAAGCAUAUCAAUAAGCGGAGGA